rnacentral:rRNA from 1 species
UGAGGAAUAUUGGGUCAAUGGGCGAGAGCCUGAACCAGCCAAGUAGCGUGCAGGAUGACGGCCCUAUGGGUUGUAAACUGCUUUUAUAAGGGAAUAAAGUGAGUCUCGUGAGACUUUUUGCAUGUACCUUAUGAAUAAGGACCGGCUAAUUCCGUGCCAGCAGCCGCGGUAAUACGGAAGGUCCGGGCGUUAUCCGGAUUUAUUGGGUUUAAAGGGAGCGCAGGCCGGGUAUUAAGCGUGUUGUGAAAUGUAGGCGCCCAACGUCUGCACCGCAGCGCGAACUGGUGCCCUUGAGUACGCACGACGUUGGCGGAAUUCGCCGUGUAGCGGUGAAAUGCUUAGAUAUGGCGAA